UGAGGAAUAUUGGUCAAUGGACGAGAGUCUGAACCAGCCAAGUAGCGUGCAGGAUGACGGCCCUAUGGGUUGUAAACUGCUUUUGUUUGGGAAUAAUCGACAUUACGUGUAAUGUUUUGCAUGUACCAUUCGAAUAAGGACCGGCUAAUUCCGUGCCAGCAGCCGCGGUAAUACGGAAGGUCCAGGCGUUAACCGGAUUUAUUGGGUUUAAAGGGAGUGUAGGCGGUUGGUUAAGCGUGUUGUGAAAUGUAGAUGCUCAACAUCUGACUUGCAGCGCGAACUGGCUGACUUGAGUACACACAACGUAGGCGGAAUUCAUGGUGUAGCGGUGAAAUGCUUAGAUAUCAUGAAGAACUCCGAUUGCGAAGGCAGCUUACGGGAGUGUUACUGACGCUUAAGCUCGAAGGUGCGGGUAUCGAACAGG
rnacentral:rRNA from 1 species